ncrna:unclassified sequences TwoGGAY RNA
UGUCGGAGGAUGUUGAUAUUUCUAGAAAAGUGCUGAAAGGCAGGGGGAAAGCGGACACGAUGUCCGCGUCAGCCGAUUGUCGACAUGGAUGUCGACUGUAGGCGGCCCCGUCAUGACGAGAACUACGCAUCACUUUUCGUAGAAAAUUUACAUCCGGAGACC